rnacentral:rRNA from 1 species
CAGUCGCCGCGGGAAUACGAAGGGGGCUAGCGUUGCUCGGAAUGACUGGGCGUAAAGGGCGCGUAGGCGGUUUUGACAGUCAGAUGUGAAAUUCCUGGGCUUAACCUGGGGGCUGCAUUUGAGACGUCAAGACUAGAGUGUGAGAGAGGGUUGUGGAAUUCCCAGUGUAGAGGUGAAAUGCGUAGAGAUCGGGAGGAACAUCAGUGGCGAAGGCGGCCAUCUGGGACAACACUGACGCUGAGGCACGAAAGCGUGGGGAGCAAACAGGAUUAGAUACCCCCGUAGUCCCUGUCUCUUAUAC